GGCUGAGCUGAGCGAGACGAGAGGAGAAAGCGAGGCUCGGGGAGGAGGCUGAGAGCUCUGGAGGAGGGAGGCGGCUCCCGAGUACUCCGCGCCGGGCUGGCCCCGGCCUCGCCUCUCCUCCCAUUUUUAAGGCUCGGGUUAGAGGCCACCUCCUCCGAGAAGCCUUCGGUGACACCACCAGAAGGCUUCCCAGAACCGUUCCCAGGUGGUUCCCCUUUCGGAUUCCCACAGCAUUUUCCAACCAUACACGGUCAGAACCACUCACCAGGACGUGUUGUCACCAUUUUACCUCUUUGCCUCGUCUCUUAACUAGAUGAAAUGGGUUCCUCUUGGCUCUUUGGAAAGGGAGGCUGUCUUCUGCUUAUUUCCGUAGUAAUCCCACCUCCCACAACAAGUUCCGUUCUGCAGCAAUGCCUUUUCUCUUGCUGAGAAACAUUCAAGCCUAAGUUUUAUGCCGUCUUCCUUCCUUAUUGUGGAUUGGACCUUCUCGAGAAAGAAUCCGGCCUCAGUCUCCCUCUUCCACACUCAGGGACCGCCACCAUCACAGGCACUCGGUGGAUGUCUUCCGAAUGGGGAUAACUUCUACCCAACACCCCGAAGCCUGGCCCAGGGUCUGGCAUACAGAUGCGCAGUGUUUGUAAGUCCUGGUUGCUCACCUCGCCCACUUGCAUGGCCCACCUGUGUGACCCACUCAGGAGUGACCCAUCUGCUCUCUUCAGACCAUAUUCCCAUUCAGAAGUGGGUCCCACUCCUCAGGCCUCUGUGCUGGCCCUGUUUGUGGGGUUAGCAUGCAGCCCUGCUCUCCAUUUCCAGCUCAGAAGCAACUGGAUCUUUACCUCAUUGGUGACAACUUGACUGUGCUGACUAGAGCUGAUAAGAAACAUCACCCGGGGAAGACCAGCUGCCUCUUCCUCACUUCCUAAUCAGGGUGGAGAUACUGCUAAAUAUAUCACAACUCUUUGCAAGCA